rnacentral:rRNA from 1 species
GAUGAACGCUGGCGGCGUGCCUAAUACAUGCAAGUCGAGCGGAAAGGCCCUUCGGGGUACUCGAGCGGCGGUCGGGUGAGUAACGCGUAAGAAUGUACCCCAAAGUGAGGAAUAACUGCUCGAAAGAGUAGCUAAUGCCGCAUGUGCUCUUCGGAGGAAAGCUUUAUGGGCUUUGGGAAGAGCUUGCGUCUGAUUAGCUAGUUGGUAAGGUAACGGCUUACCAAGGCGACGAUCAGUAGCUGGUCUGAGAGGAUGAUCAGCCACACUGGGACUGAGACACGGCCCAGACUACUACGGGAGGCAGCAGUAGGGAAUUUUCCACAAUGGACGGGAGUCUGAUGGAGCAACGCCGCGUGCUGGAUGAAGGCCUUCGGGUCGUAAACAGCUUUUGUCUGUGACUAAUAUGACGGUAGCAGACGAAUAAGGAUCGGCUAACUACGUGCCAGCCGCCGCGGUAA